CUGCACUUCCUUCCAUACAAAGCUUCAUAUGGAGCCAUCCCUAUGCUAGCAUGAUAGCUGUUAUUGUAGGCAAACUCCACCAAAGGUAGAUGCUGCUUCCAAGAACCGCCAAAAUCUAGCACACACAUUCUGAGCAUAUCCUCUAUUGUCUGGAUGGUCCUCUCGGACUGUCCGUCCGUCUGAGGAUGGAAAGCCGUGCUAAAAUCCAACCUGGUACCCAUAGCAUUCUGCAGACUCCGCCAAAACCUGGAGGUGAACUGGGGCCCUCUAUCAGACACUAUAGAAACAGGAGCCCCAUGCAACCUGACCACCUCUUCAACAUACACCUGCGCCAAUUUGUCCACAGAAUAGUUGCUCCUGACAGGGAUGAAAUGAGCAGAUUUGGUGAGUCUGUCCACUAUCACCCAGAUGGAGUCUAGUGUAACGACCCGAAAAUCGGACCGCUACCGGCGCUAGGAUCCGGGUCGACUUAAGGCCGCCGGGACCCGUAGCAAGCCUAGCAUACAUACUGUAAACCUGUAUAAUCCCAUACAUGAUCAACAAGAUACAUAAGCUGUAAACUUUUUUUCUUUCAUACAUUCUAUCGUAAGCCAAACUCAACCUGUACAUAAGCUGAACAUAAUCAUCAUAAUAAACUUGACCCCUCUAUGGGAUCUCAUAAUGCCCCCAAAGGGUGGCCUAUCAUAUGUUGAGUCGGCUAACAUGGAUAUCCAAAAGCAUAAAGAUCAUGCAUUUACAAGGGAUUACAACAUCUAUAGGGUCAAGCACAACUAAUACCUCAAUACAUAACAAACUAUACUUUUACAUUACAUCAUAAUACAAUAGUCAUUUGUCAUGUCCACAAGCUAACUAUUACAAUCAUGACUUUACUCUUCUUGACUUCUCUGUCUAGCCCGUACCUGCAAUCCUGGGGUUAGGGGAGAGGGGUGAGCUCUAAAGCCCAGUGAGCAGAAUAUAGAAAACAUAUAUUAAAUUUUCAUGCUUUCAUGGAAUGCAACAUAUCACAAACAAAUCACAUAAGGAUGGUAUUGUCACCUAUAGUCCUCAACAUAGUCCAAUCGUACCAGGGGCGUAGAAUGGGCCUCACUGGUCAUUCUCUUACUAUAACUGUAACAUACAUAAUGUUCCAAUAUGCCAGGGGCGUAGAAUGGGCCUCACUGGACUUUCUCUUACUAUGUUCCAGGGGCGUAGAAUGGGCCUCACUGGUCUCUCUCUACUAUAAUCUCAUCAUAUCAUAUCAUACGAGGACUAAAGGAUCAUUCAAUAACCAAUCCACACUAUCAUCAAUUGUGCAAUGCAUCAUAUUCGUGAAUACUAAUGCAAACAACCUACUAUAUCUCAUGGCAUUCAUGAUGCAUGUGUCAUGCUCAGAAUUUAUAUUUCAUUAAUUUAAAACUUAAAGUUUGUUCCACUCACCUCUGGCUAGCUCUGACUGUACUCUGUAGCAGCUGACUCACUGCUGCGGUCCUCUGUUCCUUGGGUCCGAACCUACACGGGUGGACUCCAAUAAGGGACCAAACAUACAUAAACAUAACUCUAAAACACUCCCCAAAAACCCCCUAAAACAUCAUGAAACAAUCAUGCAAAAACAUGCAAAAGAGGGCUGCACAGUGCAGGUUCGGCGGCACCUUCGGCGGCCGAAUGCCCCUCCAGAGACGAAAGUCAGGCAGGUUCGGCGGCACCUUCGGCGGCCGAACCUUCCCUCCAGAGACGAAAGUCAGGCACUUUCGGCGGCCGAACAUCACCUUCGGCGGCCGAAAGUCCGCUUUCACGCCUAACAUCACUUGCGGGGGCAAGCUUCGGCAGCCUAAGGCUGCCUCCACAAAGGGGGUUCGGCGGCCGAAAGUUCCUUCGGCUGCCGAACCUGGUUUCUUCCCAAAUGGCAGAAACUUGGUUCAAAUGAACCUCUUGCCUCCCAAAACUUCAAAACAUGCAUAUAACUCAUCUAGAACAUGCAUACAAGCUCCUAGGGGCCUCAAACACACAUAUACCCCAUCUACAACACUUCAAACAUACUCAAGCAACACACAUUGCUCAAAAACUCAACUUAAACAUAAAAACCUAACUAUGAGCUAAUAUGCAUUCUACCCCAUAGAUCUAGCAUAAAACUUACUUAAAACAUAUUUAGAGCUUAAGAUCGGCUCUUACCUCUUGUAGAUCGAGAGAGAGACGUCCUAAACUCGGAGGUGGGAGAUUUGGGUCCUUGAACCUCAAAACUCCAAAACUUGCUCAAAAUGCUUAAAUCUUGCAAAUCUUCAAAAACAAGAAGAAAGCUAGUGAAAAUCAUGAAAGAUUGAAGGAAAGAACUCAAGAUGGUGAGGAAGGGUGGAAAACUCACCUUGGCCGACAAUGGGGAGAAAAGCUCGCCCGUUUUCGGCUAAGGGGUCCUUUUAUACCAGCUGGCCAAACCACGUUCGGGGGCCGAACGUCCUCCCGCAUGCAUGCCAUGUUCGGCGGCCGAACUUGAGUUUCGGCGGCCGAACCUGCACUUCCUCAACCUAUGCUUUCGGGGGCCUAAAGCACACCCGAAAGGCUUGAAUGUUCGGCGGCCGAACUUCACUUUCGGCGGCCGAACCUGAGUUUUCCUCAAAAGCUGUUUUCAUGCAAAACUCAUUUAAAAUUCAUACUUAAAACAUUAAAACACAUGAAAACAUUUUAUAAAAACAUACUAUUACCCUUCUAGAGGUUUCCGGCAUCCGAGAUUCCACCGGACGGUAGGAAUUCCGAUACCGGAGCCUAGCCGGGUAUUACAUUCUCCCCCCCUUAAGAACAUUCGUCCCCGAAUGUUCCUCAACUAGCACAUGCAUAACAUACAUACAUAACAUCUACACAUAAACACAUAAAGCACAAACAGCUUACCUCAAAAGAGAUGGGGAUAUUGCUGGAGCAUGGACUCCCGUGUCUCCCAGGUGCAUUCUUCUAUAUUGUGGUGGUUCCAUAGGACUUUCACCAUCGGGAUUUCCUUGUUUCUCAGCUUUCUAAUCUGGGUGUCUAAGAUCCGCACUGGCUGCUCUACAUAGGUGAGAUCCUCUUGGAUCUCCAUAUCAGGCUCACUAAGAACCUUACUCGGAUCUGACACGAACUUUCUCAACAUCGAAACAUGGAAAACCGGAUGGAUUCUUUCCAUUGAAGUAGGCAAAUCUAGCUUGUACGACACAUUCCCAAUCUUCUGUAAGACCUCAAAGGGUCCGAUGUAUCGUGGAGCUAGCUUACCCUUCUUCCCGAAACGAACCACUCCUUUCAUUGGAGACACCUUGAGCAAAACUAGAUCCCCCUCCUGAAACUCUACUAGCCGUCUGCGGAUGUCUGCAUAACUCUUCUGUCUGCUCGAAGCAGUCUUGAUUCUCUCUCUGAUAAUGGGUACUACCCUGCUGGUAAUCUCUACCAACUCAGGCCCUGCCAAGGCCUUUUCUCCUACUUCUUCCCAACAGAUGGGUGAUCUGCACUUCCUCCCAUACAACGCUUCAUACGGAGCCAUCCCAAUGCUAGCAUGAUAGCUGUUAUUGUAGGCAAACUCCACUAAAGGUAGAUGCUGCCUCCAAGAACCGCCAAAGUCUAGCACACACAUUCUGAGCAUAUCUUCUAUAGUCUGGAUGGUCCUCUCUGACUGUCCAUCAGUCUGGGGGUGGAAGGCAGUACUGAAAUCUAACCUGGUACCCAUAGCACUCUGCAGACUCCGCCAAAACCGGGAUG
rnacentral:lncRNA from 1 species